GACGAACCGUGCGAACGUUGUUCGGAAUCACUGGGCUUAAAGGGCGCGUAGGCGGGCUGACAAGUCUGGGGUGAAAUACCACGGCUCAACCGUGGAACUGCCUCAGAUACUGUCGGGCCUCGAGGGAGGUAGGGGCGUGCGGAACUGUAGGUGGAGCGGUGAAAUGCGUUGAUAUCUACAGGAACUCCGGUGGCGAAAGCGGCGCGCUGGACCCUCUCUGACGCUGAGGCGCGAAAGCCAGGGGAGCGAACGGG
rnacentral:rRNA from 1 species